rnacentral:rRNA from 1 species
AUUGAACGCUGGCGGAAUGCUUUACACAUGCAAGUCGAACGGCAGCACGGACUUCGGUCUGGUGGCGAGUGGCGAACGGGUGAGUAACAUAUCGGAACGUAUCCAAUAAUGGGGGAUAACUAAUCGAAAGGUUGGCUAAUACCGCAUACGCCCUACGGGGGAAAGCAGGGGAUCUUCGGACCUUGCGUUAAUGGAGCGGCUGAUAUCUGAUUAGCUAGUUGGUGAGGUAAAGGCUCACCAAGGCGACGAUCAGUAGCUGGUCUGAGAGGACGACCAGCCACACUGGAACUGAGACACGGUCCAGACUCCUACGGGAGGCAGCAGUGGGGAAUUUUGGACAAUGGGCGCAAGCCUGAUCCAGCCAUUCCGCGUGAGUGAAGAAGGCCUUCGGGUUGUAAAGCUCUUUCGCAAGGGAAGAAAACUUACUUUUUAAUAAAGAGUGAGGUUGACGGUACCUUGAUAAGAAGCACCGGCUAACUACGUGCCAGCAGCCGCGGUAAUACGUAGGGUGCGAGCGUUAAUCGGAAUUACUGGGCGUAAAGCGUGCGCAGGCGGCUUUGUAAGUCAGAUGUGAAAUCCCCGAGCUCAACUUGGGAACUGCGUUUGAAACUACAAGGCUAGAAUAUGUCAGAGGGGGGUAGAAUUCCACGUGUAGCAGUGAAAUGCGUAGAGAUGUGGAGGAAUACCAAUGGCGAAGGCAGCCCCCUGGGAUAAUAUUGACGCUCAUGCACGAAAGCGUGGGGAGCAAACAGGAUUAGAUACCCUGGUAGUCCACGCCCUAAACGAUGUCUACUAGUUGUUGGUGGAGUAAAAUCCAUGAGUAACGCAGCUAACGCGUGAAGUAGACCGCCUGGGGAGUACGGUCGCAAGAUUA